UGUAGCAAUACAAAUUUGGUUCAGUGGCGCACGGGUGCGUAACACGUGAGCAAUCUGCCGGGAAGUGGGGGAUAGCUCGCCGAAAGGCGAAUUAAUACCGCAUGUGGCCAUCCUUCGAGUGGAGGAAAAGCCAAAGCAGCAAUGCGCUUCCUGAUGAGCUCGCGGCCUAUCAGCUCGAUGGCGGGGUAAUGGCCCACCAUGGCUUUGACGGGUAGCUGGUCUGAGAGGACGACCAGCCACACUGGAACUGAGAUACGGUCCAGACACCUACGGGUGGCAGCAGUCGAGAAUUUUUCACAAUGGGGGCAACCCUGAUGGAGCGACGCCGCGUGGAGGAUGAAGGCCUUCGGGUUGUAAACUCCUGUCAUGCGGGAACAAGCAAGUGAUAGUACCGCAAGAGGAAGAGACGGCUAACUCUGUGCCAGCAGCCGCGGUAAUACAGAGGUCUCAAGCGUUGUUCGGAUUCAUUGGGCGUAAAGGGUGCGUAGGUGGUGACGCAAGUCUGGUGUGAAAUCUCGGAGCUCAACUCCGAAAUUGCACCGGAUACUGCGUGACUCGAGGACUGUAGAGGAGAUCGGAAUUCACGGUGUAGCA
rnacentral:rRNA from 1 species